rnacentral:rRNA from 1 species
UACUUGAUGAUCCCGCGUUGUAUUAGCUAGUUGGUAGUGUAAAGGACUACCAAGGCGAUGAUACAUAGCCGACCUGAGAGGGUGAUCGGCCACACUGGGACUGAGACACGGCCCAGACUCCUACGGGAGGCAGCAGUAGGGAAUCUUCCGCAAUGGGGGCAACCCUGACCGAGCAACGCCGCGUGAGUGAAGAAGGUUUUCGGAUCGUAAAACUCUGUUGUUAGAGAAGAACGUUACUGAGAGUGACUGAUUACUGUGUGGACGGUUUCUACCCAAAAAGGAACGGUUAAUUACUGGCCACCACCCCCGGAAUUACUAAGGUCCCAGCCUUUUCCCGAAUUUAUGGGCCGUAAACCAAGCCCAACGGGUUUUUUAAUCCUAAUGGAAAAGCCUCCGCUUCACCGAUGGAUUGCUUUGGAAACUGGAAGACUUGAGUGCAGGAGAGGAAAGUGGAACUCCAUGUGUAGCGGUGAAAUGCGUAGAUAUAUGGAAGAACACCAGUGGCGAAAGCGGCUUUCUGGACUGUAACUGACGUUGAGGCUCGAAAGUGUGGGUAGCAAACAGGAUUAGAUACCCUGGUAGUCCACACCGUAAACGAUGAGUGCUAGAUGUUCGAAGGUUUCCGCCCUUGAGUGUCGCAGCUAACGCAUUAAGCACUCCGCCUGGGGGAAACUCAAAGGAAUUGACG